UGCCCCUUAAUCGGAAGCGUAUUCGAGCGCUGGAGAGAGUGUGACCAUGGCCAGGUCCGGGCGCCCAGCUUGCUGGUGACCGUCUGUUAAACAAUGACAGACUACGACCUGAGGGGCUUCUCAGUUCACACGUAUUUCCUCACUGUUUCUCGGUUCCUUAUUGUACCUGUACUGAUGUGGUUAAUUAGGGACUGCGCUGGCUUCUGGACUCCGUGCAAGCAGGGCCUAUUUUGUCAUUCUCUGGCACAGCUCAGCGUGCUCAUUCCUCCUGGACACACUUCUCUGCUCUGCCCGGAGGAUGGCGAGGAAGUGACAUCUCCAUGGAAACAGGUGUUGAUCCCACAGUUGCUUAGCGAUGUGCUGGUGUGCUGCAGGAUGAUAUAUUUUGUCCCAGUUAAAAAUAGUGCUUCGCACAAGAGCUGAAAACAGGCUUCUUCACUAAACGCUUCCUCAAGCUGGUUCUCAGCCUCCUCCUGAAUCAUUACCCUCGAGCCAGUUCGCUGAGAUCUCAGGGAGAUACAUGCCAAGAAACGCCACGCUUCCUCCGGGGAAAGUGCCAGCGGGUGCCCACCCCACUGCGGUCGAACCAGCCCAAACCAGGUCUACGAAGUCAGGCAGGGCUGUCCAUUCCAGGACCACCUCCUGGUCUUCCUCAGGCGAAGAGGAAGGACCGCCCCUUCUGACCUGGUUGAAGGAACCUGCAGUCACUCCCGGGUCUCUAUUUUACCACAGCCUGUUAGCAGCCCAGAAUAGCUCCCGAGCCUUCGAUUCCGUGCUCCGGGCAGAGUCUUGAACCGUCAGGAAAUGGUUUUUGCGGUGUGCCGAGGAGGCAGAGGGGGAGGCAGGGAUGGAAAAUCCAAACAUCCCUCCCGAGUCACGGCGAAGAGGCAACCCAUGUUUUCAAGUCGGUCUGGAUCUCAAACAUUGAGUGCCACUUGCGCGAUGGGUUCCUGCCAUUCUUCCCUCUGGGAAUUAGAAGAAGUCGUGACAGCCUGUGGAACCAUCCAGCUGAGUAAGGGGAACAGGUCCCUGAGCUGGCGGGAACUGUUACUGAGGCCUCGCCCACACUGAAGAUCAUAAUGCCAUGAAGAAAGUUCUGGCAACUCUGGAAACCUAAGGGAAAGCAUGCCUGUCUCCCCCACCCCUGCCAGUAUUCAGUCACAUAUGUGCUCUUCGUCUUCUGUAUAACUUCCAUCUUGGCACGUUUGAGAGAGAAGUUUGCUGUGUUUGUCUGCCCAAUGGGCUGCCUUCGUUAUAGAUUGUAAAUAACUUCUUUCCAGAAUUUCAAGACUUUCUUUUUUUCUUUAGGAUGACAUUUAAUAUUUUCCAUGCAGUUUGCCUUUCUGGGAGAAUGUUCUCAGGGAUGAGUAACUUUGGGUUGUCUUCCUUUCAACUGCUUUCCCUAUUUUAAAAGUCUCAUUCUUAUAUAUAUUUUUUCAAAGCAAUACGUUUGAUUUGAGGUUUUAGGCUGAAACCCAGCUUUUUCGUACAAAUUCCUGCCCAUGUGCCAUUGUUUUAUCUUCUAAACGAGCUGACAGAAUGAAGCCUGCUGGUUAGCUGAGACCAUUUCGGGUACUGCCUCUCGAAGUAAGGUCUGUGCGACAUCCGUGUCCACAAUCAGUGUGCUUCCUGGAAGUGCAGUCUGCUGGGGCUAGUUGCAAAUAUAUUGAAUGAAAAUUUCAGUGGGGCAGGAGGAGGCCUUGGAAUCUGAAUUUUUCACAAGGGCAGCAGGUCGUACCUGUCACUGUGGAGUUUGAGAACCACCAUUCCAGCUGAAGGAGCAGGAGUGACCUUUACCGGAUGUCCUUCCCGCCUGCUUUUCUCCACCCAUCUCCUCAAGCUGGGCUUGGGUCUUCUUGCUGGCCCUGGUAGCUUUCAGUAACUUUCAUACGGUUUGGAAUCUUGACGGCCAGGCCGCAGGCAAGCUGCACUAUCAAAGCUGGGCCCCAUGGAGAUGAAUUUGACCAGAGUACCUAACGUGGGGCUGGUUAGGCAGAAGGGGGCGCUUGGGAGGUGAAUGCUUCCACCAGUUUCCCCCACAGAGGCAACAUUAAG